GGAGUUAGCCGGUGCUUCUUCUGUGAGUGAUGUCCUUCCUGCCGGCUAUUAACCCGCAGGCCUUCUUCCUCACUGAAAGUGCUUUACAACCCGAAGGCCUUCUUCACACACGCGGCAUGGCUGGAUCAGGGUUGCCCCCAUUGUCCAAUAUUCCCCACUGCUGCCUCCCGUAGGAGUCUGGGCCGUGUCUCAGUCCCAGUGUGGCUGAUCAUCCUCUCAGACCAGCUACGGAUCGUCGCCUUGGUGAGCCGUUACCUCACCAACCAGCUAAUCCGACAUAGGCUCAUCCGAUAGCGCGAGGCCCGAAGGUCCCCCGCUUUCCCCCGUAGGGCGUAUGCGGUAUUAGCCUGGGUUUCCCCAGGUUAUCCCCCACUACCGGGCAGAUUCCUAUGCAUUACUCACCCGUCCGCCGCUCGCCACCAGGGAGCAAGCUCCCCGUGCUGCCGCUCGACUUGCAUGUGUUAGGCCUGCCGCCACGCGUUCAUCUGAGACCAUAAUACAACUACUCGA
rnacentral:rRNA from 1 species